ACGAGGUAAAUGAGAUGAAGUUUUCGGAUGGAUUCUUAUUUACCGAGUGGCGGACGGGUGAGUAACGCGUGGGUAACCUGCCUCAUACAGGGGGAUAACGAUUGGAAACGAUUGCUAAUACCGCAUAAGCGCACAGUACCACAUGGUGCAGUGUGAAAAACUCCGGUGGUAUGAGAUGGACCCGCGUCUGAUUAGCUAGUUGGUGAGGUAACGGCCCACCAAGGCAACGAUCAGUAGCCGACCUGAGAGGGUGACCGGCCACAUUGGGACUGAGACACGGCCCAGACUCCUACGGGAGGCAGCAGUGGGGGAUAUUGCACAAUGGAGGAAACUCUGAUGCAGCGACGCCGCGUGAGUGAAGAAGUAUUUCGGUAUGUAAAGCUCUAUCAGC
rnacentral:rRNA from 1 species